rnacentral:rRNA from 1 species
GGGUUGUGAGGUUAAGCGACUAAGCGUACACGGUGGAUGCCCUGGCAGUCAGAGGCGAUGAAGGACGUGCUAAUCUGCGAAAAGCGCCGGCGA